AUUGAACGCUAGCGGCAUGCUUUACACAUGCAAGUCGAACGAGGGGCGGGCGGGUGUGUAAUAUAUGGGAACGUGCCCAGUAGCGGGGGAAAACUUCUCGAAAGAGUGGCUAAUCCCGCAAACUAUUGGAGCGGCCGAUAGCGGAUUAGCUAGUUGGUGGGGGAAAGGCUCACCAAGGCAACGAUCCGGAGCUGGUUUGAGAGGCCGACCAGCCACACUGGGACUGAGACACGGCCCAGACUCCUACGGGAGGCAGCAGUGGGGAAUAUUGGACAAUGGGGGCAACCCUGAUCCAGCCAUCCCGCGUGUAUGAGAAGGCCUUCGGGUUGUAAAGUACUUUUGGCAGAGAAGCGGUAUCUGCAGAAUAAGCACCGGCUAACUACGUGCCAGCAGCCGCGGUAAUAC
rnacentral:rRNA from 1 species